rnacentral:rRNA from 1 species
AGUGAACGCUGGCGGUAGGCCUAAUACAUGCAAGUCGAACGGCAGCACAGAAAGAGCUUGCUCUUACGGGUGGCGAGUGGCGGACGGGUGAGGACUACAUCGGAAUCUACUUUUUCGUGGGGGAUAACGUAGGGACACUUACGCUAAUACCGCAUCCGCCCUACGGGUGAAAGCAGGGGAUCUUCGGACCUUGCGCGAUUGAGUAAGCCGAUGUCGGAUUAGCAAGUUGGCGGGGUAAAGGCCCACCAAAGCGACGCUCCGUAGCUGGUCUGAGAGGAUGGUCAGCCACACUGGAACUGAGACACGGGCCAGACGCCUACGGGAGGCAGCAGUGGGGAAUAUUGGACAAUGGGCGCAAGCCUGAUCCAGCCAUACCGCGUGGGGGAAGAAGGCCUUCGGGUUGUAAAGCUGUUUUGUGGUGAAAGAAAAGCAGCAGGUUAAUACCCCGCUGUUCUGACGGUACCCAAAGAAUAAGCACCGGCUUACUUCGUG